rnacentral:rRNA from 1 species
AGCAGUAGCCGCGGGAACACAGAGGGUGCGAGCGUUAAUCGGAUUUACUGGGCGUAAAGCGUGCGUAGGCGGCUAAUUGAGUCGGAUGUGAAAUCCCCGAGCUUAACUUGGGAAUUGCAUUCGAUACUGGUUAGCUAGAGUGUGGGAGAGGAUGGUAGAAUUCCAGGUGUAGCGGUGAAAUGCGUAGAGAUCUGGAGGAAUACCGAUGGCGAAGGCAGCCAUCUGGCCUAACACUGACGCUGAGGUACGAAAGCAUGGGGAGCAAACAGGAUUAGAUACCCCCGUAGUCCCUGUCUCUUAUAC